rnacentral:lncRNA from 1 species
UAAGCCUGUUUCACGUACUUGCAGAUAAGAUGAAUUUGGUAUAUGAAUAAAAGAAGAUGUAGUAUGAAUCUCACUGAGACAGCAAUCAGAAAACAAAAAAUAAUGUCAAGAUCAAAAUCAACAACAAAGCUGAAUGUGUCUUUACAAUUGUAUCUUGUACAUUAAUAGAACUAAUCACACUUUGCAUAUAGAUGUUAUCAGUAGCAUAACAUUUUUUAA